rnacentral:rRNA from 1 species
AGAGUUUGAUCCUGGCUCAGAUUGAACGCUGGCGGCAGGCCUAACACAUGCAAGUCGAGCGGUAACAGGAAGUAGCUUGCUACUUUGCUGACGAGCGGCGGACGGGUGAGUAAUGCCUGGGAAUUUGCCCAUUCGAGGGGGAUAACAGUUGGAAACGACUGCUAAUACCGCAUACGCCCUACGGGGGAAAGGAGGGGACCUUCGGGCCUUCCGCGAAUGGAUAAGCCCAGGUGGGAUUAGCUAGUAGGUGAGGUAAUGGCUCACCUAGGCGACGAUCCCUAGCUGUUCUGAGAGGAUGAUCAGCCACACUGGGACUGAGACACGGCCCAGACUCCUACGGGAGGCAGCAGUGGGGAAUAUUGCACAAUGGGCGAAAGCCUGAUGCAGCCAUGCCGCGUGUGUGAAGAAGGCCUUCGGGUUGUAAAGCACUUUCAGCGAGGAGGAAAGGUUACUGGCUAAUAUCCAGUAGCUGUGACGUUACUCGCAAAAAAAGCACCGGCUAACUCCGUGCCAGCAGCCGCGGUAAUACGGAGGGUGCGAGCGUUAAUCGGAAUUACUGGGCGUAAAGCGUGCGCAGGCGGUUUUGUUUAAGCGAGAUGUGAAAGCCCCGGGCUCAACCUGGGGAACUGCAUUUUUGAACUGGCAAACUAGAGUCUUGUAGA